CUCCGGUUGAUCCUGCCGGACCCGACUGCUAUCAGAGUGGGACUAAGCCAUGCGAGUCAACAUAGCAAUAUGUGGCAUACGGCUCAGUAACACGUAGUCAACAUGCCCAGGGGACGUGGAUAACCUCGGGAAACUGAGGAUAAACCGCGAUAAGUCACUACUUCUGGAAUGGGUAAUGACUCAAAUCUACAUGGCCCCUGGAUUGGACUGCGGCCGAUCAGGCUGUUGGUGAGGUAAUGGCCCACCAAACCUGUAACCGGUACGGGCUCUGAGAGGAGGAGCCCGGAGAUGGGCACUGAGACAAGGGCCCAGGCCCUAUGGGGCGCAGCAGGCGCGAAACCUCUGCAAUAGGCGAAAGCCUGACAGGGUUACUCUGAGUGAUUUCCGUUAAGGAGAUCUUUUGGCACCUCUAAAAAUGGUGCAGAAUAAGGGGUGGGCAAGUCUGGUGUCAGCCGCCGCGGUAAUACCAGCACCCCGAGUGGUCGGGACGUUUAUUGGGCCUAAAGCAUCCGUAGCCGGUUCUACAAGUCUUCCGUUAAAUCCACCUGCUUAACAGAUGGGCUGCGGAAGAUACUAUAGAGCUAGGAGGCGGGAGAGGCAAGCGGUACUCGAUGGGUAGGGGUAAAAUCCGUUGAUCCGUUGAAGACCACCAGUGGCGAAGGCGGCUUGCCAGAACGCGCUCGACGGUGAGGGAUGAAAGCUGGGGGAGCAAACCGGAUUAGAUACCCGGGUAGUCCCAGCUGUAAACGAUGCAGACUCGGUGAUGAGUUGGCUUCUUGCCAACUCAGUGCCGCAGGGAAGCCGUUAAGUUUGCCGCCUGGGGAGUACGGUCGCAAGACUGAAACUUAAAGGAAUGGGCGGGGGAGCA
rnacentral:rRNA from 1 species